UUCGAUUUCUUCCCUCCCAAGGAGGCUAUGUCCCCCUUCUUGCCAGACCAUCGCUCUGCCAGGCAACCUGAGAAAAGGUGCAGAAGGGUCUCAGGAGCAGUUUGCUGCACGUCACACUGCGAAGCAAGCACCCAGGAACUGGCAAAGCGCAGACACCCAACUCUCUCCCGGGCCCCUGGCUACACCAUGACCCACGGAGAGAUAGGCAGGCAGGCUGGCCUUGCACCACCCCCAACUACACAAAUCCUGACCUGCCCUCACCGAUGAGUGCUCAAAGAUCCUGCCCUGCCCUCACUGCUGUAUGCUCAAAGCUAGCUACUGUUGCUUUCUUUCCCAGGAAAUAAGGUAUCCUUGGCUCCACCCCUUCAAUGUAGCUGGACACUAUCAUGCAAACAAAAUGGUUUAAUUCUGGAAAAUAAAGACUUCAAAUAUUUCCCUAUCACCACUGUUUAUCCUACAAGCACCAAAUAAAAAAAAAUUUUUUUUUGGUUAUUUUAUGUCACAAUGUUUGGUUUUCUUUUAAUUGCAGUUUGAGGCUGGGAGUGGCAGUUCACACCUUUAAUCCCAGAAUCCAAGAAACAGAGAUAAGAGGCAGAUAGAUCUCUGUGAGUUCAGAGCCACCCUGGUCUACACAGUAAAUUCUAGGCCAGAGAGGGCUAUAUAGUGAGACCUUGUCUAAAAGUUAAAAAACAAAAACAAAAAUAAGUCCCAGCACUUAGGAGACAGCAGCAGGAGUCUGAGGCUAGCCUGGUCUACACAGUGAUCUCCAGGCCAGCCAGAGCUACACAGCACUGUGAGAUAGCCUUCUGUGCUCUGUGACUGUGUGUCACUGUCAUUGGCUGAUAGCAAAGCUAAUUUGUCCUAUAGCAAGGCAGAAUAAGGCUAGGUGGGAAAGCCAAACUAAAAAUACAGAAAGAAGUAUGGAGUUGAGAGAAACAAGCCAGUCACCAGAUAAAGCCAUGAGCCAUGUGGCAAAAUAUAGAUUAAUAAAAUGGAUUAAUUUAAGUUGUAAAAGCUAGUUAGUGAUAAGCCUGAGCUAAAGGUCAAACACUUUGUAACUAAUAUAAGCUUCUGUGUGAUUAUCUGGGAUCAGACGGUUGGGACAAAAGAAAAGUUCCGCCUCUGUAGAGAGACUCUGCCUCACAAUAAACAAACAGAUAAGUCAAAACUGCUGUUUGAGUUUCAUAGAAACGACCUGAAUUUCAUAAAAAGCAUUCAGUAAAAUCGCAGACUUGGUUUGAAGAUAGAAUUCCAAUGUUCUUAAAUGGCUCUACAUAAACUCCUGCAUGCUGGAUACAUAUGUACAUAAAGCAGAAGCUCUCAGCAUUUAUGACUACAAAAUCAAAAUAUAAACCAACUCUGAAAAACGUUGAAGAUGCUGUCCUAUAGCACCAAAUGCUCAGCCAGCAUUUAGCUGUUUUUAGUCUCUGUGCAGGCUGUGGAGACGGAGAGCCACCCUGGAUGCUGCUUCCCUUCAGCCCUGUUUUGGGACAGGGCCACUGUGCAGGCCAAACCCUGGGCCCACAGGCACAUCCUACUGCAUCUGUCUUUAUGGGGCACUGGGGAUCCAAACUCAGUUCACACUUCACUCACUGAGCCAUCUCCCUCGCCUAAGAACUGUCUGAUGCCUACACUUAUUUGAUGUAACUAUAUACCCAGGUGACAUAAAAUUUUUUUUUUUUUUGGUAAAAAGGGGUUGCAAGUGUUUUUUUUUUUUUAAUUUUUGUUUGUUUUGUUUUUUGAGACAAGCCCUAGUUGUCCUAGAACUUGCUUUGUUGACUAGGCUGGCCUGGAACUCACAGAGAUCUGCCUGCCUCUGCCUCUCAAGUGUUGGGAUUAAAGGCAUUUAACACCACACCUGGCUUUAUAAAAUUUUUUUAUCAGAUUCAUUCAUUUUAUUUUGUGUGUGUUUUUCCUGCACCAUGUGCAUGCCUGGUGCCCACAGAAGUCAUGACCCAUCAUAGUACAGAAGGUUGUGAAUUACCACAUGGGUGCUGAGACUCUGCAAGAGCAGUAAAUAUUCUUAACUGGUGAGCCGUCUCCAGUGCCAGCAAGUGUUGUAGCAUAAGGAGCCCUCCCCAGUACCCAGGCCCACUCACCACACCAUGCUCUUCCUAGCUUAUAUCUUUCCUUGGCAGGAAAAGCACAGCUGUGGCCUAAAGCAUUCCUUAUGCCAUGAAAAAACUAGACUGGCUUCCCUGCUAGCUUCUGUCCCCAGAGAUGAUUCACUACCACUCUUCUCCCUUGCUAGAGACAAUUCACACACACACACACACACACACACACACACACACACACACACACACACACAGGCUGGGUAUAGCUCAGUGGGAAGAGUUUUGGCCUGGCUUGUGCAAAGCACUGACUUAAAAUCCCUUACCAGAAAAAAACAAACAGAAACUCUGAUUUAUGUCCCACCCUGCUUUUCUAUGUAAGCAGUAGUACAUCACAGGAUCUUUGCUCUGUAGUCCCCACACACCUGUCCUGGGAUUAGCAGUGUGUACCCCCACACCUGUCCU